AGUAUUCUGGGCAUAUCUGAUUUCCUUCAACAAUAAGGAAUACCCACGUCUUUCUUUCAAGAUUUUUCACCUGGUGUCGGCUAUUAUCAAUAUUUGUUUCCUCUUUUAGUGGAACUUCUGAUGCCUGGGCCGUCUUUAUUCUGGUAAGCAAGUUACAGUGUGUAUCUAACUCUAAUUUUGUUAAAACUAAUCAAAUUCUUUUGAAAGUAAUUUAACUUCCCGCUCUUGAAUGAUUAUCUUCAAAUCUGCUUUGCCCUUUUUGUUUUAUUGCUUAUCUAGUUUUACUGUCAUUUCCUUCCAAUCCCCUAUUCAUGUUGUGAGUUUGCUUCACCAUCGUCAUGUUAUUUUACAACAGCUUCAGAGUAGUUGUGGCUGCUGGUACAUGGAUUGCAAUGCUGGAUAAUUAUUGGAUGUUCUAGGGUUGGGAACAGGAGAAAAAUGCUAAUGUGAGAAGAAUAUGAUUCCAGUACUCGUUUUAGUGAUAUAGACCACGGAGUCAUAGAUAUUGAAGAAAUGGUGAAAUAGUUAACAAUGAAGCGGCUAGGGUGGGGAAAUAUGAAUGAAUCGAUGUUUGGUGCUUUACAAUUAGAAGUCCUCCCCUUCGGGCUUGUGUAACUAGCUUCUUGAAGAAGCAACAAUCUUUUAACCCGAUGUUGCCUCGGGUUAUGGUGAUCUGUACAUGAAGAUGUCUUCCAAAAGCAAACAAAGCAUAGUUUACUAUGUUUGCAUAGUUUACUAUGUAUCCUUCACUUGUUGGUUAUAGUAUCUCUAGUGCAAUUAAUACCCAACAUAAAUAUGCAUUUUCUUUUUUGAGUAAAACAUCCUCCACACUCUUUCAAUACAUUUUCACUGACAUUAUAGGUUUUCUAUGAGUGGUUACUAUAGAAACUGAGAAAACCUGUUUGUAUGCAAGCAAAUAUAUCUUGUUUCUUCCUGGCAUUUCUUGCUGUUAACUCAUUGUUAGCUGUCAUUCAAUGUCAAUCUAGAUGCAAGAACAUAAGAUCAACAUAAAAAAUUACUUAUGAUGGGAGAUACUGUCAGUAUGUGUUUAUUUUGUACACUUUGAGCAUAUUCCUUGUUUAUUUCAACUGGAAUUAGUUGAAAUCUUGUUAAGAAAGAAUAGUACGAUUCUGCAUUUGUUGCAGAAUGAGGACCUUCAUAAGCAUUGUGGAAAAAGUCUUAUAAGAAUCUCAUUUCGACAACCUUGGCCAUAAGGAGUGAUUGUUGUUGUUUUCAUUGGCUUUUCAUGGAUGCAUUUUGUAGGGGGUAUUCGACACUUCCUUUAGGAAAAUUAAUUUAUUUUAAAAGAGUUAAAAGCGGAAGAAGAAAUUCCUAAGUCUCAUGUGGUAGUGCAUUCUUUGCUUCGCUCUCUUGAAUGGCUCUUAGUUUAUGGGACUGGUUACAACAGUUUGGAACAAUAGGA